AAAUGAUUCAACAGUAAUUGAACUUUGCAUUAUGUAUGUUUCACUUACUAUACUUUAAUUUGCAUCCCAUCAUUCACUGAACUUUACAAAAUUGCACUCCAUCACUAACCCACUAACUUUUGUCUUCACAGUCCGCCUACGUGGAAGACGACAGUCAUAUGUGGCCAUUAAAUAAUCCAAACUGGAGAAGGAAUUGUUAGGUCAAAUGAACCAAGCACCCCUUACCUUAUUUCAUCACGGAAAUUGCGAUUUGGGAACCCUAAUUUAUCAUAAACGCUCGAUUUAUCUUGGCAUCGAAGUGAAAUUCCUCAAACAUCUCCGUCAAAAGCGUGAACCCUACUCCCCAAAAUCAUAAUUAUUCCAAAAUUGAAUACGAGUCAAGGGCAAUUGUUGAUUGGCUCGGAGAGAACACCCAAAGGUAAUUGAGAAAAAUUUUCCCUUUUCAUAAUUUAAUAUCAUUGAAUUUGUAGUGCGAACUAGUUUUGUGAUCGAGUUGAGUUGUUAAUGGAAUCAAAUAACAUAAUGAAAUGCGAACAACGUUAUUAUCCAUGGCUCUGGUUUUCCAUUUCAUUUGUUUUUAUCUCUUAAGCUUUGUUCUUUGAUUUUUGGAGUUCACUAGUGCAGUUCUUCGAUGUGGGUAUGCCCAAAAAAGCUUAUUUCUUUGUCCAUGGCUCCUGUUUUCCAUUUCGUUAGUCCUUUGUGUUUUUACAUCAUAGGGCAACUCUGUAGAUAGCUCCGGUUUAGUUUUUACCACGUCAUAAGUAAUUAAUUGAUGCAUUGCAUUUUAUUUUUCGUAGGAAAAAACAAGGGGAUUUGCCACUGUUACAGAGAACCAAGCCACCAAUUAUGGGUAUGCCUAAAAAAACAGCAAUGUCCAAAUUGUGCCGGAGCAAUCAUAAAAUGGAUGUCAAAGAAGAACGAAAGGGCUUUUCAAUUGAAGAUUUGUCCAGUUUGUUAAAGAUUGCCGCUGAAAUUAUCGAACAACAAGAUGUCACCAUUAAACUAAGCUUCCACAAGGGUAAAGGAGACACGGAAGUCAGAAGGAAACGAAGGCCAAGAGAGUCGUGAACAUAUUCCAUAUAUGAAGGCGACGAGACGAGAAGAACUAACUUUUAAUUUCAUAUUUUUUUAAUAACUAGACUAUUCAUGCUUCCAAUUUCAUGUUUAUUGUUUUCGUUUAAGUGGAAACUAUGCUGUACUUGAUAUUUGAUUUCGUGAAGUUGUGAUUUCUAAAGAACAAUCUCCGUUUGCCUAUGUUUGAUUUGAACUAGUUGUGUAUCAAAACUUUUCUAAUGACCUUCUUCUAAUGAUUUAAACAAUCUCCAUUUGCCUCCAUUGUGAUGUUCAUGUUGCCUUCAAUCCCAGCAGC
rnacentral:lncRNA from 1 species